GGAUGCGAUCAUACCAGCCCAAACGCACCGGAUCCCAUCAGAACUCCGAAGUUAAGCGUGUUUGGGCGAGAGCAGUACUAAGGUGGGUGACCCCUCAGGAAGACAUCGCUUUGCAUCCC